GAGAUGGAUUUUUACUAAGGUGACCAUGCUUUGAGAUUUUCACCAUUUGAGUAAUUCCUCUGGGCUCUGCCACCCAGCAAGUUGAUGAGGACAGGAUUUCUCCUGGGGGAUCGUGGUUCUGGGAAUGUGAGCAGUUCUUGUUUUCACGAGAUCUGCACCCUGACCUGGCCUGC